AGCGCGCGUAGGUGGUUUGUUAAGUUGGAUGUGAAAGACCCCGGGCUUCAACCUGGGAACUGCAUCCAAAACUGGCAAGCUAGAGUAUGGUAGAGGGUGGUGGAAUUUCCUGUGUAGCGGUGAAAUGCGUAGAUAUAGGAAGGAACACCAGUGGCGAAGGCGACCACCUGGACUGAUACUGACACUGAGGUGCGAAAGCGUGGGGAGCAAACAGGAUUAGAUACCCUUGU
rnacentral:rRNA from 1 species